ACCGGCGAACGGGUGAGUAACACGUAGGCAACUUACCUUGUGAACGGGAAUAACCCCGGGAAACCGGGACUAAUACCCGAUGUAGUCCCAAUACGACAUCGUGUCGGGAUGAAAGGUCCGUAAGGACGUCACAAGAUGGGCCUGCGUCCCAUUAGAUAGUUGGCGGGGUAAUGGCCCACCAAGUCGACGAUGGGUAGCUGGUCUGAGAGGACGAUCAGCCACACUGGAACUGAGACACGGUCCAGACUUCUACGGAAGGCAGCAGUGAGGAAUAUUGCUCAAUGGGCGAAAGCCUGAAGCAGCGACGCCGCGUGAAGGAUGAAAUCCGUUAGGAUGUAAACUUCUUUUGCAGGAGAUGAAUGUCCCGACUUGUCGGGAUUGACCGUACCCUGCGAAUAAGGAUCGGCCAACUACGUGCCAGCAGCCGCGGUAAUACGUAGGAUCCAAGCGUUGUCCGGAAUUACUGGGUGUAAAGGGUCCGCAGGCGGGCGAGCAAGUCGGUGGUGAAAGUUCACGGCUCAACCGUGAAAUUGCCUUCGAUACUGCUUGUCUUGAGUUCGAGAGAGGAUAAUGGAAUUCAUGGUGUAGCGGUGAAAUGCGUAGAGAUCAUGAAGAACACCAGUAGCGAAGGCGGUUAUCUGGCUCGAUACUGACGCUCAGGGACGAAAGCGUGGGUAGCAAACAGGAUUAGAUACCCUGGUAGUCCACGCCUUAAACGAUGGAUGUUCGGUGUCAGUCCGCAAGGAUUGGUGCCUGAGCCAACGCGUUAAACAUCCCACCUGGGGAGUACGAUCGCAAGGUUGAAACUCAAAGGAAUUGACGGGGGCCCGCACAAGCAGUGGAGAAUGUGGUUCAAUUCGAUGCAACGCGAAGAACCUUACCUGGGUUUGAAAGGCAAGUGACAGGCGAUGAAAGUCGCUCUCCCCGCAAGGGGCACUUGUACAGGUGCUGCAUGGCUGUCGUCAGCUCGUGCCGUGAGGUGUUAGGUUAAGUCCUGCAACGAGCGCAACCCCUGCACUUAGUUGCCAUCAGGUCAAGCUGGGCACU
rnacentral:rRNA from 1 species